rnacentral:tRNA from 2 species
GAGUCUAUAGCUUAAAUGGUAGAGCGUACGCUUGAUAAGCGUAAUGUUGAUUGUUCGAACCAAUCUAGACUCA